UCCCUGGCUCAGAUGGUAAAGCGUCUGCCUGCAAUGCGGGAGACCCGGGUUUGAUUCCUGGGUCAGGAA
rnacentral:tRNA from 1 species